AAAGAUCCCUGAUCUGCAGCCUCUUCAGCGUCCACCUGAUCAACCACGCUCUCAGCAGCUCCACAUGCCUGAUCUAUGACGUCUGCCAUUACCUCAUCAGCUACAUCCUCCUCUGCUUCACCCUUUCCAGUUGCCGCCUCUUCAGCUCAUUUCAUGUUCACAGCGUUAAGCUGCUCACUUUGCACAGGGAGCAAGUCAGGAUAGAGCAUCUUGAUGUCUUUAUCCCUAAUGGCAUAGAAGGGAUCAUUUCCAUUUGUACAGUCCAAGUAGCCCAACUUGUACGCAUCCAUGGCAGCUUCAGACUUGGAUUCUUCAACAGACUUAUGAUAGGUGCGAAAUCUAGCCAAAAGCUUGUCAUAGCUAUGAGAAAUCUACACGGAAGUAAGGAUCUUUUAUACUUGCCAAGUCAACAGCAGAAGAGUUAAGCUCGGAAUCCUUCUCAGCAAGGGAACUCUUCAACUCAGAUACCAUCUUCAAAAGACAUGGUCAACGGACAACUGCACGAAGAGAAGAAAAUUCUAGAAGUUAGAAUACAAAAAAAAAAAAAAAAGGGCAGUAGUAGAAAAAAAGAAAGGGUUGGAAAAAAGAAAGAAACAGCCCAGUAUGAACAGCCCAACGCGUGCACCCCAUCCUCUAGCCCAGCAUGAAGGCCCACAUUGCGCAGACCAGCGUAUGCUCUAGCACGCAUCCUGGCCCAGUUCCAUCGAAGCCCAGCUAGCACCUCCAAGCUGAGCGCACAUCUCAGCCUGGCCCGUUCUCCAGCUCAAGCACGCAAGGCCCGCUUGCCUAGCCCAGGCCCACGUCGCGGGCAAGGCCCAGCCCGUCUCCAAGCCUUUGCUCCAAAGCCCAGUGCCUCCAUCCUUCUGCCUUGGGCUCUGCUCUUACAUGCUUUCCAUUCAAGCCUAGCGCACGCAAGCCCAGCUCUAGUUCUUUGGCGCAUGCUGGCCCUGCCAACUCCAUUCCAAAUCUUUGUCCAUAGACUAACGAACUUGCAACUCAUGCUGGAC
rnacentral:lncRNA from 1 species